CCGGUAAACGGCGGCCGUAACUAUAACGGUCCUAAGGUAGCGAAAUUCCUUGUCGGGUAAGUUCCGACCUGCACGAAUGGCGUAAUGAUGGCCAGGCUGUCUCCACCCGAGACUCAGUGAAAUUGAACUCGCUGUGAAGAUGCAGUGUACCCGCGGCAAGACGGAAAGACCCCGUGAACCUUUACUAUAGCUUGACACUGAACAUUGAGCCUUGAUGUGUAGGAUAGGUGGGAGGCUUUGAAGUGUGGACGCCAGUCUGCAUGGAGCCGACCUUGAAAUACCACCCUUUAAUGUUUGAUGUUCUAACGUUGACCCGUAAUCCGGGUUGCGGACAGUGUCUGGUGGGUAGUUUGACUGGGGCGGUCUCCUCCUAAAGAGUAACGGAGGAGCACGAAGGUUGGCUAAUCCUGGUCGGACAUCAGGAGGUUAGUGCAAUGGCAUAAGCCAGCUUGACUGCGAGCGUGACGGCGCGAGCAGGUGCGAAAGCAGGUCAUAGUGAUCCGGUGGUUCUGAAUGGAAGGGCCAUCGCUCAACGGAUAAAAGGUACUCCGGGGAUAACAGGCUGAUACCGCCCAAGAGUUCAUAUCGACGGCGGUGUUUGGCACCUCGAUGUCGGCUCAUCACAUCCUGGGGCUGAAGUAGGUCCCAAGGGUAUGGCUGUUCGCCAUUUAAAGUGGUACGCGAGCUGGGUUUAGAACGUCGUGAGACAGUUCGGUCCCUAUCUGCCGUGGGCGCUGGAGAACUGAGGGGGGCUGCUCCUAGUACGAGAGGACCGGAGUGGACGCAUCACUGGUGUUCGGGUUGUCAUGCCAAUGGCACUGCCCGGUAGCUAAAUGCGGAAGAGAUAAGUGCUGAAAGCAUCUAAGCACGAAACUUGCCCCGAGAUGAGUUCUCCCUGACCCUUUAAGGGUCCUGAAGGAACGUUGAAGACGACGACGUUGAUAGGCCGGGUGUGUAAGCGCAGCGAUGCGUUGAGCUAACCGGUACUAAUGAACCGUGAGG
rnacentral:rRNA from 1 species